rnacentral:rRNA from 1 species
GGGGGAUAACUACUGGAAACGGUAGCUAAUACCGCAUAACGUCGCAAGACCAAAGAGGGGGACCUUCGGGCCUCUUGCCAUCGGAUGUGCCCAGAUGGGAUUAGCUAGUAGGUGGGGUAACGGCUCACCUAGGCGACGAUCCCUAGCUGGUCUGAGAGGAUGACCAGCCACACUGGAACUGAGACACGGUCCAGACUCCUACGGGAGGCAGCAGUGGGGAAUAUUGCACAAUGGGCGCAAGCCUGAUGCAGCCAUGC